rnacentral:rRNA from 1 species
UACGUAGGGUGCAAGCGUUGUUCGGAAUUAUUGGGCGUAAAGAGCUCGUAGGCGGUCUGUCGCGUCUGCUGUGAAAACUGGAGGCUCAACCUCCAGCCUGCAGUGGGUACGGGCAGACUAGAGUGCGGUAGGGGGAGAUUGGAAUUCCUGGUGUAGCGGUGGAAUGCGCAGAUAUCAGGAGGAACACCGGUGGCGAAGGCGGAUCUCUGGGCCUUACCUGACGCUGAGGCGCGAAAGCUAGGGGAGCGAACAGG